UGUUUGCACUUAGCGGGAAGGGUAAGAACCUUCGACUAAGGUUCGACUCGAGCGCCAGCGAGAGAACGUUGCCGCAGGCAAC
rnacentral:sRNA from 1 species